UUUAUUAAUUUUGUUUAUUUAUUUAAUUUAUUUAAUAAAAAUAAUUUUAAAAUUUUAAGUUUAAGUAUUUUAUAAAGAAAAAAUAAUUUUAAUUAUAGUUUAUUUGUAUUGUAAAAGAAAAUUGAAAUAAUUUGAAAAAUUUUUAUUUUAAAAGAAAAUUUAAUUUAUUGUACCUUGUGUAUCAGGGUUUAUUAAAUAAAAAAUUAUUAUAUUAAUUUUUCUCGAAUUUUAAAGAUUUAAUUAUAUAUAAAAGUUACUGUGGAAUAAUUAUUUUUAAUAUAUAAUUAGAAAUGAAAUGUUAAUCGUUUUAAAAUAUAUCUAGUUUUUUAAGAAAUAAAUUUAAUUUAGAUUUAUAAACUUAAAUUAUUUAAUUAAUUAAAAUAAUUUAAUUUAUAAAAUUAAUAUUUUAAGGGAUUAGCUUUAAAAUAAAUUUUUAAAUUUUAAAUUAAUUAUUUAAUAAAUAUAAGCUUAAAAAUAGCUAUUAUUAAUAAAUUUGUUAUAAUUUAUUUUAAAAAUUUAAUUAUUUAUUAUAAAAUUAAAUUAUUUAUUAAAAUAUAAAUUUUAAUAAUAAAAAUUUAUAAAUUAUGAUAAAAUUAGUAUAUACAAUUUUUAUAAAUAAUUAUUUAUGAAAGGUUUAAAUAAGGAAUUCGGCAAAAUAUAUAUUCACCUGUUUAUCAAAAACAUGUCUUUUUGAAUUGAAUUUAAAGUCUAACCUGCCCACUGAUAAAAAUUAAAGGGCCGCAGUAUUUUGACUGUGCGAAGGUAGCAUAAUCACUAGUCUUUUAAUUGGAGGCUUGUAUGAAUGGUUGAAUGAGAUAUAUACUGUCUUUUUUAAAAUUAUAUAGAAUUUUAUUUUUUAAUUAAAAAGUUAAAAUAAAAUUAAAGGACGAGAAGACCCUAUAGAUCUUUAUUUUUGUUAUUUAUAAAUUAAAAAGAAUUUUAAAAUUUAUAAUUUAAUAAAAAAUUUUAUUGGGGUGAUAUUAAAAUUUAAAAAACUUUUAAAAUUUAUUAACAUAAAUAUAUGAAUAAAUGAUCCAGUUUUAUUGAUUAAAAAAUUAAGUUACCUUAGGGAUAACAGCGUAAUUUUUUUUUAGAGUUCAUAUCGACAAAAAAGAUUGCGACCUCGAUGUUGGAUUAAGAGUUAUUUUUAGGUGUAGAAGUUUAAAGUUUAGGUCUGUUCGACCUUUGAAUUCUUACAUGAUCUGAGUUCAAACCGGCGUAAGCCAGGUUGGUUUCUAUCCUUAAUUAAUUAUUAUAUUAUAGUACGAAAGGACCUAAUAUAAAAAAUAUAGAUUUUAAUGAUAUGAUUAAUAUUAAUAUUAAAUAACUAUUUUGGCAGAUUAGUGCAAUAAAUUUAGAA
rnacentral:rRNA from 1 species